rnacentral:rRNA from 1 species
CGUGGGCAACCUGCCCUAGAGUUCGGGAUACCCUCUCGAAAGGGAGGCUAAUACCGGAUACGUUCCUCGGGUCGCGAGACCUGGGGAGGAAAGGCGGCGAAAGCUGCCGCUCUUGGAGGGGCUCGCGGCCUAUCAGCUAGUUGGUGAGGUCACGGCUCACCAAGGCUAUGACGGGUAGCUGGUCUGAGAGGACGACCAGCCACACGGGAACUGAGACACGGUCCCGACUCCUACGGGAGGCAGCAGUGGGGAAUUUUCCGCAAUGGGCGAAAGCCUGACGGAGUGACGCCGCGUGGGGGAUGAAGGCCUUCGGGUUGUAAACCCCUGUCAGAGGGAAAGAAGGGUCGGCGCGUGAAUACCGCGUCGAUCUGACGGUACCUUCAGAGGAAGCCCCGGCCAACUCUGUGCCAGCAGCCGCGGUAAGACAGAGGGGGCAAGCGUUGCUCGGAAUCACUGGGCGUAAAGGGCGCGUAGGCGGGGUGGCAAGUCGGUCGUGAAAUCCCUGGGCUCAACUCAGGGGGGUCGGCCGAUACUGCCGUUCUUGAGGGAUGCAGAGGAGACUGGAAUUCCCGGUGUAGCGGUGAAAUGUGUAGAGAUCGGGAGGAACACCGGUGGCGAAGGCGGGCCUCUGGGCAUUCCCUGACGCUGAGGCGCGAAGCGUGGGGAGCAAACGGGAUUAGAUACCCCGGUAGUCCACGCGGUAAACGAUGACGACUAGGUGUGGGGGGGUUAAGUCCCUUCCGUGCCGCAGCUAACGCAUUAAGCCGUCCGCCUGGGGAGUACGGGCGCAAGGUUGAAACUCAAAGGAAUUGACGGGGGCCGCACAAGCGGUGGAGCAUGUGGUUCAAUUCGAUGCAGAGCGAAGAACCUUACCUGGGCUUGACAUGUA